rnacentral:rRNA from 1 species
AGUGAACGCUGGCGGUAGGCCUAACACAUGCAAGUCGAACGGCAGCACAGUAAGAGCUUGCUCUUACGGGUGGCGAGUGGCGGACGGGUGAGGAAUACAUCGGAAUCUACUUUUUCGUGGGGGAUAACGUAGGGAAACUUACGCUAAUACCGCAUACGACCUACGGGUGAAAGCAGGGGAUCUUCGGACCUUGCGCGAUUCAAUGAGCCGAUGUCGGAUUAGCUAGUUGGCGGGGUAAAGGCCCACCAAGGCGACGAUCCGUAGCUGGUCUGAGAGGAUGAUCAGCCACACUGGAACUGAGACACGGUCCAGACUCCUACGGGGGGCAGCAGUGGGGAAUAUUGGACAAUGGGCGCAAGCCUGAUCCAGCCAUACCGCGUGGGUGAAGAAGGCCUUCGGGUUGUAAAGCCCUUUUGUUGGGAAAGAAAAGCAGCAGGUUAAUACCCCGCUGUUCUGACGGUACCCAAAGAAUAAGCACCGGCUAACUUCGUG